ACACUGUUACUUAUCCUCCUUAUCUUUAAUGUUCACUUGUCUUGCCUGUUGAGAUAAGGCUUCCAGGACCAGACCUGGCCACCAUCCAGAGCCUGAGCAGCAUUAAGCCUUUCUUCUCGAGCCCUGAAGCACUGUGCCAAGAGCAGGCUAGAUAAUGAGCAAUAAAAGGUGGAAGGAGCUCAAGCCCAGCACUAUCUCUAUAAACACUUUUAUUGUGUCUCAUUCCCUUUUUGAAGUCUUGUCUCUGGGAAACAGGAAGAAAAGUGGCCUUUUGGCUGCUCUUUUGGCAUCAAGAGGUUCCUUCUGGAAAAACACUUGAGUUACUCCUUCCCUGGAGAACAAGCAAGGGGAGAUCUCUAGGAGGAAAUACCUUCCUAUCUCAGUAGUUCUGUGAUAUUUUAAAUUAUAGUGAAUACAACUUACAAACUAUACUCCCGAUACUUUUAUCAGGUAAAGGGAGUAUAUUUCCUGUGGUGUUCCAUAGUUUAAAUUUGCAGUUUCGAGCGAAUUUAUUUAAGCGAAUGCAUAUCGAUUUGGGAUCUACUCUUGAAAAUGUUCCUGCACGUGAAGUUGGUGCUGCUGAGUGAAUACUAUUAGAGACUGAUAGUCUCCAGGAAUCAGACUUAAAUCUACAUGAAUCAGAGAAGAGUUUCACUGGUGUGUUUCAGCCCUGUUUUUAAAGAAGGUUUUCUCUGUGGGGGACAGGGUAAAUUAGUCUCUAAGCUCCUGCUGUGAGGAUUGCAUGUGGACCCUCAUGGGAAGGCAUAAUACAGAUCACUGAGUAUCAGAAACUUCCUAGCUGGAUUUAGACGUACUUAUCUAUAGCACUGUAACUGUUUGAUCCUCAUCACACAGAUAAUUCACAGUACUUGAAGGCGGUUAAACCUGCAGCACCGUCAGUUUGGACCAGGCUUUUAUGGUAGCUCCAUAGUAGCAACCCUGCAACUAGUGUGAUGGUUCAAUCUACAACUGCAGUGGGUGCUCCUACACUUUGCUUAUCAAAUCUGAGACACAACUGUGUUCAUUUGGAGCUGGUGCAUUACAAACUAGUUCUGGUGCUGUCUGAUGCUUUCACUGCCUCAGGGACAAGCCAUUUUAUUUUUCCCAAAGUAUUACUGACCCCCUGUUAUUAGAUUUUACCCAUGGCAAACAUUUUGGCCCUUCCCCUUAUUGCUUUUUGAGUCGCACCUUGUUUGUGAAUUCCCAGGUGACUGUUCAAAUGUACUUGGUGUAAAAUUCACUGCAACCCAUCUAAGAUUUCGCUGCAGGCUCCAAAGGAUAGACCUUAACUUGGAUUUUAUUAGGCUGUGGAUCUAUAAAAAAAUAAAAAAGAAUAAUAAUAAAAAUCAGUUUUGAGAAAGGGAAUUACAUCAAAUUAUUAUUAUAUUUUGAGUCUGAUGGAAUAGAAACAUGUGUUUGCAUCUGAGCACUGACUGUAAUCACACAGGUAACUAAAACCAUCUGAGAUGCCCUGAGGCAUCUGUACAGGGCUGGUGGGUAUGGAAGAUAUAUUGGAGUAUGCAGUAAGUAGCCAAGCAGGGUCCCUUUAUCGGACUAAAGGUUUGUAAUUGUGAGAGCGCCACAAACUCUCACUCUUUAAAUACAAUGAUUCAUACACACAUGGGCUGUUAACAGAAGAUUAAAUGUUAAAAGUGUGAAUUAAAUGUUAAAAGAAA
ensembl:lncRNA